AAUAGAUACCCGGGUAGUCCACGCUGUAAACGUUGGACACUAGGUGUGGCGGUCUGAUCAACGACUGCCGUGCCGAAGCUAACGCAUUAAGUGUCCCGCCUGGGGAGUACGGCCGCAAGGCUAAAACUCAAAGGAAUUGACGGGUCCCCGCACAAGCGGCGGAGCAUGCGGCUUAAUUCGAUGCAACCCGAAGAACCUUACCUGGGUUUGACAUCAUGGGAAAAGCCGUGGAAACACGGUGUCCGUAAGGGCCCAUGACAGGUGGUGCAUGGCUGUCGUCAGCUCGUGUCGUGAGAUGUUGGGUUAAGUCCCGCAACGAGCGCAACCCUUGUCCUAUGUUGCCAGCGGUUCGGCCGGGGACUCAUGGGAGACUGCCGGGGAUAACUCGGAGGAAGGUGAGGACGAUGUCAAGUCAUCAUGCCCCUUAUAUCCAGGGCUGCACGCAUGCUACAAUGGUCGGUACAACGGGCAGCGAUCCUGGCGAAGGUGAGCGAAUCCCACAAAGCCGGCCUCAGUUCGGA
rnacentral:rRNA from 1 species